UGAUCUGGCGGCACAAAAGGCCCUGUUCCUGCAUUGGCUGGAGAGAUGGCACACUGCUUGUGCAUUGCUGUAAAGUAUGGUUUGAAGAGCUGAAGCUGGUAACUUGGCUUCAUCUUGUUGGAUACUAAGUGGUUUUCCAGGAAUCUUCAGCAUGAUGACAUCAGUAGAGCAAGAACAGCAGUAUGCAGAUAGGAAUCUUCUUUACACUGGUUGGUCUGGGUCCACAGUGAAAGCAAGGAGGAGGCAACGUUUGCACGGACUGAGCGGGCUGUCAGUCUGGUGGACCUGAGUGAUCCUGGAAUGCAGGCAUCUUCUAAACUGGCCCAGAACACAAUUCGUGCCUUCUGUAAGUAUCUGCUGAAGUAUCUGUUUAAUGAGGGGAAAGUCUGGCGUUAUUCUGAAAAGCAGUCAUUCCUGUGUUAGUGUAAAUUCAAGCUGCCUGGAUAACUGCUGGAUUCUGGUGUUGCUGCUCCUUGUUGCAAGAGGAGAAGCUGUGUAUGGAGAUGGACUUGAAUGCUUCCUCAGCUCGCUAGGACAGCUUUUAAUAGGCAGGCAGAAAGGUGGCUUCAGCUAACCACUGUCUGUUCUGCAGAGGAUGCCACACUGCAACUCAGACAAUUAGAUAAGGCUGCAGGAUUCUGUCAAAUGUUCACUUUCCUUACUGAAAUGUUGGGCUCUAUGAAGUUUUAAGGACCUUCCACCCAGUAACACUCCAUCCUUGGAAGUAUCUGAGUUUUUGCAAGAGGGGUUUAACUCUUCCCGUGCUGUGCUUUGAUUUCAGCUUUUGUUCUUGCUGCCUCUAUUGUCUGAAAAGAGCAAAUAGGAAGGCGGUUGGUUUGAUCUCCCUUUGUGCUGUGAUCUACCAUCCAUAAAUCCUGAGGUUUUACAUGGUGGAAGGAAGAACGUGCACCAUCUGGCCUUACGUCGGUGUAGACACUUACAGGGGCUAACCUCGCUGGCUGCUGGGCUCUUUGCCUUGGGAAGGAAACGGAGCU